ACCAGACUCCUACGGGAGGCAGCAGUGGGGAAUAUUGCACAAUGGGGGAAACCCUGAUGCAGCGACGCCGCGUGAGUGAAGAAGUAUUUCGGUAUGUAAAGCUCUCUCAGCAGGGAAGAAAAUGACGGUACCUGAUUAAGAAGCCCCGGCUAACUACGUGCCAGCAGCCGCGGUAAUACGUAGGGGGCAAGCGUUAUCCGGAUUUAUUGGGUUUAAAGGGUGCGCAGGCGGAAUGUCAAGUCAGCGGUAAAAUUUCGGGGCUCACCCCCGUCGUGCCGUUGAAACUGGGUGCCUUGAGUGGGCGAGAAGUACGCGGAAUGCGUGGUGUAGCGGUGAAAUGCAUAGAUAUCACGCAGAACUCCGAUUGCGAAGGCAGCGUACCGGCGCCCAACUGACGCUGAAGCACGAAGGCGUGUGUAUCGAACAGGAUUAGAUACCCCUGUA
rnacentral:rRNA from 1 species